rnacentral:tRNA from 1 species
AUGUAGUGUAGAGUUUGUAAUAGUUGUUGAACUUUUAGUUUAAUUUAGAAUAUUU